AAAAGAUUAAAAAUGCCCGCUCUUCAAUUGAAGAGAGAAAAGUCCGAACUUUUUAUUUGAUACAAGCUAACAGCUUGCAAAAAAGAUUUUUGGGAAAGUGUUACAGAAAAAAUACAUUGAAAUUUAGUUAAGGUAACUUAAUUGAGUAAAACCCUAUCAAAAGCAAAACUUUAAAGUUGCUCGACGUACUAUGUGAAUAGAUACGCAGACAAAUGGGCAAAAGAGGUGUUCCUCAUCAGAAUUCGGCUUAUAUUAAUCUUUUCGUU
rnacentral:RNase_P_RNA from 1 species